CACGGAGGGGGCUAGCGUUGUUCGGAAUCACUGGGCUUAAAGCGCACGUAGGCGGUCUAUCAAGCGUCUUGUGAAAUCCCUCGGCUCAACCGGGGAACUGCUGGGCGAACUGGUAGACUUGAGGCAGGUAGGGGCGCGUGGAACUCUUGGUGGAGCGGUGGAAUGCAUAGAUAUCAAGAGGAACGCCGGAGGCGAAGGCGACGCGCUGGGCCUGUCCUGACGCUGAGGUGCGAAAGCCAGGGGAGCAAACGGG
rnacentral:rRNA from 1 species